rnacentral:rRNA from 1 species
UACGUAGGGGGCGAGCGUUGUCCGGAAUCAUUGGGCGUAAAGCGCGUGUAGGCGGUCCGAUAAGUUCGCUGUGAAAGUCGGGGGCUUAACCCUCGGAUGCCGGUGAAUACUGUCGGGCUUGAGUACGGAAGAGGCGAGUGGAAUUCCUGGUGUAGCGGUGAAAUGCGCAGAUAUCAGGAGGAACACCAAUUGCGAAGGCAGCUCGCUGGGACGUUACUGACGCUGAGACGCGAAAGCGUGGGGAGCAGACAGG